CCAAACUUGAAUCGUGAUCCUUUGGGACCUGGUUCAGGCUCACUGCCUGUGGCUACUCCUGUGAUUGGAGAAUAGGCCCAUUGGUUCGUGGUAAAGGAUGUGAAUGUCUUGAAUUCUGUUCGCUCACCAAACCUGAUCUAUUUUGAGUACACUAAUUCUCAUGUCAGGGGUUACACCAGCGUGCUUGGAUCAAUGAUGAUUUCCAAUAAAACAUUCCUUGGAAAGCUGAACAAAAUGAGUGAAAACUCAAUACUGCCACUAUCAUCGUGACUGAGGUCCAGAACCUGGGGUCACAAAUGUCACUGAGGGACUCACAUGGCCUCCAUUCAACUUGCAAGACUUGGAUCCAGUGAGAGAGCCUUCAGAAUGUUCUUUGCUUGCCUACAUCACCAGAAAUCAUGGCCUAUAUCAAGGCUUCACCUUUUUCUGUAGUCAUAACAUGCUUUCCCAUUGAGGAUAUCAUUGUCAGUAUCUUGGAAGUUAGCCCUACCAACUCCAACCAGCAAUAAUGUACAGUAGGCUGUGAGGCAAAUGUAAGGUUAGCAGGGGCAGCAAGGUUCGACAAUGUACAGUGGAAUGUCAGGAAAGGUGUUUCUGUCCCUGUCUGAAGCUUUCGCAUGAAUGAUAACCCUUCUUUUUCAUAAAACAGAGAUAAGUAACAGGAAGGUUACAGGUGACAUGUGGAAUGAGUCAGUAGCAAUUCUCAGGAACUAUGGGAAUGUGGACUCUUCCUGUGUGAAAACAAAGGUCUGUUUUCUUUAAAGACUGAUUGUGGCCAUGGCAAUUAGGUUGGAAAGAGAGCCUUGGAAUUUAAAGGGUUGGCAUGUAACCUUCUUGUCAGUGGCUUCUAGAAGUGCAUGCUUUCAAAUGUCCCAGCAUUCAUACCAACUUCAUGGAUGUAUGGAGAACACUCAUUUAAUCCUAGUUUCUAUGUUUAUUGUUGGGACAUUUUUUGUCAGUCUAUCCAGCUAGUGUUUCAGCAGUUCUUAUGGAUUUACUGUACCAAAGAUUGUCUAGACAUACAUCUCGUUCUCUUCUAGGAUAUAUGAAUGUGAGCAUGCACGUUUGUUUCUUACACACAGGCCUUCUAGUAAUUUUAUAUUUUGGUAUGGCCGAGGAAGAUAGGCAUGGAGUGUCUGUGGUAUUAUCUUUCCUUAUGGCUUUUGAUGUGGCCUUGAAAUUUUAACUUGGCAUUUUGGCUAUGUGUUUUGGGGCAGAUGGUAAGUCCUGUAAUCUUAGACAUUGUUCUUUUCUCCAAGCAAAUAUCGAAAAGAAAUUGUGUUUCCAAUUGAUUUUGAAAGUGAGCUGUAUGCUUAGGAUCAUGCUGUUUAUAAUUACAUAUGUCUCAGUGACUGCAGGUUAUGCUAGUGUUUGGUGACCUGAGAGGGUUUGAACAGACACUUUCUCUGUGGUGAUCAAUGUCAGAUACCAGAGCAAUAGCACUCACAUGAAAUUAGUAGCAGUCAAAACCUGAAUAGCAGGCAUAUGAGCAUAGAUAGAGAAAGAGACAAAGAACAAUUUUUGAAGAGGCUAAGCAUGUGUGAGACAGAGGAAGACAGUGAGAGACAGAAAGAGACAGACAGAGAGAGAGAGAGAGAGAGAGAGAGAGAGAGUGAGAGUGAGAGAGAGAGAGAGAGAGAGGCAGAGAGAGAGAGAGAGGUGUGAAGUGGAAAAGAGGACACUGUGAUAUUAAAGCAGAUAUUUUGAUCGACAGAAAUAAGGAAACAAAAUAGAGAGAAUGUGAGUGAGAAACAGAGACGCAGGGAGAGUCACUGCAAGACAAUUUCAGAGAGAAAGAGAAGAAGCGAGAUAGAGACAGAGUACUUAUGUAGUCCGUUCAUCUAAUGUGGAUGAGAAUCUUAUAUGAUAUUCGAACCGGGUCUCAUCGAAGGCAGAGUAGGACUAAUAGGUGUAGUAUGCCAUGAUUAUGGAGGGUGCUCCGACUGUGGCCAAAGCUAUUAAGAUUCUGGUGGUUUCCAUGGGAAGAGUAAGGCCUGAUUGUCUCUGGGAUAUCCAGCUGAACUAAGAUUUAUUUAUUUUUGUAGGCACCUUCCAUUGAGCCUUGUUAGUGGUCUCAUUCUGUUGUGUACCUUGUGCCAAUUUCUUUGGAUGGUUCUCAAGUGAUAUAAAUACUACUGUAGUUUUCGGGAUCAGAUAUCGGCUUCGUCCCAUUUUAAGAACUUUGUUCCAUGGUAACCUCCAGGAAUUCGGUGAUAGAAUUGGGAGACUUAUGUCCCCAAACUGUCCUUGGAGGAAAAAUAUCUCUGAUAUGGAUUGUGAGGGCAAAGUUCUAGAGGAGGGAAGGAGUGCUGAGAGAGCCCACGUGUUCGAUAAAUUAUGAACUAACCAUAAUGCAUCACAGUCUCCAUGAUUUGCAAGGAAUCCAAUAAAGUGGGGGAAUGUGCUAUUUGCCUUACUUUCAGGGACAGAGUUUCUGUCUCAUACCUGACAAGGACGGCUCGUAGAGUAACUGAGUACAUGUCCUGCGCGCGACUUUCCGCAGGCAAGAAGCAAGAGGACUUUUAGAAAUCCUUACUGUGACCAACCUUUUUAAUCUUGGAAGAAGAAAAGCCCCGCCGAGCUAACAUGGCUGCUUAUAAAACCGUAGUGCGUCGCACCAACACCUGAUUGAUUGUUACCCGUGAUCUCAUAAGGCACGCCCCGGAGUGGGCAAAGACCUGGCAAGAAGGCACUCUUGCACAUGCGCACAGUUAACUUCCUGAAAUGGGGGCCGGCUAGCGCGGCGAAGGCUGGCGCCAUCUCAUAAUGUUGGAGGCUAUCCUGGCCUUCGACGUGGGGCUCAGUGGAAGCCAGCGCCAUCUAGUGGUUGCGAAUAUUAUUGCGUUCCUCUACAUAUCAUCCUUAUAAUUUAUAUAAUUUUAUAGCAGUCAUGAUCACCUUGUCGCGUGCAAUGAGGAAACCUCAGCGAUGUGCAAGGGCUGAUCAAAGGAUCACUGAUUCUCUCUCAUCCCAGUGCAAUGGAUCCACAGUUCCAUGGGGUGCAGGAGCAGAGAACUCAGAUACAGAGAGAGUCCUGAGCAAGAUAACCAAAUUCCAGGGGAGGCCCCUAGUACAAUGGCCACAAAUGCUUGAGUGUUAAAGGCCUUGUCACGUUUCUGUUGAGAUCUGAGUUUGUAAACCAACCAAGUAUGAAUACUGAUCCACGGAAUAGGGCUGCACCAGACAGAGCCACUCCCGAUAAGUAGUGGGCACCUCAUUGUUCCUCCUCAACUGUUACCACCAAGGGCCGUGGUCAAGCCGCUCCUAUAAUAAAAUUUAGAAUUCACAAUUGUUAGUAACCACUCCAGAAAGUUCACCUACUGUAUUUGUCUAACAAUAGAUUGGGGGAGGAUAACUCCAGAUACUGCAGACACAAUGUUUGCAGCAGUAAUGGCUGCUACAAUAACAGCGAAAGUGUCAAGGUCUUUUCUAGGACAGUUCAGGAUCAGUCAUUUUUCUCUGGAACAACCAGCAGACAAUGGAACCAUUUCUGAGAUCUGUAUAACCAGCACAGAGUUCCCCAGUCUACUGUAGCUUUAAGCAGGUAGCAUCCCUGUAAAGCUACAGUCUGUAAAAUGACCAGUUAAGGCAGCAAGAGUCACCAGGGAAAAUGAAGGGGGCAACAACGGCUGGAGUCCAGUCUUCCCCAGCAAGCAGCAGUGUACAGAGGGUCAGAGAGUAGGCCAUAGUGGGACAGGACACAUGCAGCGGUAACACUGACUGCAGCAACGGCAAAAUCUCUGUGAUGACAAAGGAUGAAGGGAAAUCUUCUAUCUUCCUCUCAGGGCAGAGGAAUGACUCCAGGGACCCGAACCAGGAGAGCUGAAUCUUUAUGCAACCAGGAUCAGCAAGUCUCAGCAACCACUCAGGCAGCUGGCACACUCUUGUAGCAUCCUGUAGAAAAAACACAAACAUUCCCUCUUCCCCAUAUAAAAUAUCUGGACAGGAUCAUGUCAAUAAGUGGAUCUCUCUAUUUCACCUAGGCAGAAGUAUGCCUAGUUGUAGUGUGCCAUAAACUUUGGCAUCCAAAAUUUUAAAAUUGAAAUAAAAGGAGCAUUAUUUAGCAUACAGGGAUAACUCCCCCUUUUUAUUUAUUAAGAUAUAGUAAAGAUAUUAUUUAUUAAGGUAAGUCCUCGAGGAUUAAUUUGAGGACACUGAGCAUUUGUAUUUAUAAAUUGACUUGUAUACCAAAUUAUUGUCUCCAGCAUAAUUGUAUUGGAUAUAUAAAGAAUGAGAUUUUUUUCACUAAUUGUUCUUAUGUAAGGCCUAUAAUCUGUCUGGAAUCUUGUCCUCCCUUGUUAAAUAGCCCAGGCAAUCCAGUUUGAGUUCUUAAAUGUCCAAUAAAGGAACAGUAUUUAGUGUUCUUAACCACUAAGCCAUUUCUCUAGCACCUCACAAACUUUAUUUACCUAAACAUAAGCAUUAAUUAGAAAUGUCAAAUCUUGUCCAGAUUCAGUCUUACUAGAAAUCCCUGAGCUGGCAGGGUGAGGCUGGGAGUUGAAAGUAAGCAAAUGGAGUCUUCCUCUUUUCCUGAGGGUGUGUUAACAACUCCAUUACCAUUUUUAAAGAGCUGGGUCUAUGGUUUUGUUUAGUUGUCUGAGCCAGAGCACUGAAAGGACAGUGAGUUGUCAGACAAUUUACACUGAAAUCACUCACUGAUUUUAAAUAGAAAAUCUGUCUCUAAUAAAGCAUUAAGUAAUUGAAAUCAAUUGUAAACCACAAGCCACACAUUGGCUAUCAGUAUGUGAAUAGAAAGUUUGAUUUAAAAACAGUGGCUAAACUACGGAAUUCAAUAAUCUGUGUUGAAGCAAUAGAAACUCAAGAGAAUAAACAAGUGAUCCAAUCAUACCUGUAGCCUUUUCAUUAGAUGAACCACCUAUAAAUACAGUAAGUACAUUUCCUAUGGGUUGUAUGCACAAAUAUACAGGAAGUAUAAAAGCAUGUAAAGAGUAAAAUUAUCAAUUUUGCCUGAAAAUUUUGUAUAUGUAAUAGGCCAAAUAUCAGUAUUUUGUAGUAACCAAUUAACUGUUGUUUGGAAAUAAGGUAUGUUUUACCAGGUUUCUUAUCAAAAUACUUCCAUGACUUUAGUCCACAACUCUGUACUAACACAGCUGAAGCUUUAUCUCCAAUGUGCAUAACAAAGACCUAAGUCCUCUAGUAGGGUGAGGUACUUAGCCAAUUAACAUAUCCUUAGAAGCUUAAAAUUAGCUUCAAAUAUUCUUAUCUGGAGGAGUGUAACAGCUAGUCCCCAAAUAUUAAAGCUCAUUUAGAGAGCAAAGGUUUGUAGUAAAAAUUUCCAUAUAUAUUGAAAGAUUUAAGUUCUAACUUCUUACACUGAAGAAGCAACAAAAUUACCUAAUAUGAGGCUGUUAGCAAUCCUCUAAAUCUAUCCUGAAAUGGCAGUUGGAGUAAGUAAACUGGCUGUAAUGUUCUCACAAGUUCCAAAACCUCAUCAAUCCUUCGUAAAUCUUGUAACAAUCUCUACCUGUAUGAUUUUUCCUUAAUUAAAGAUAAGUUUGAGUUAGUGUAACGUUAGCGAUCCUUAAUCACAAUCUUUAAAUUCUCCUUGUAACACCAGAGCACCACUACAAGGUCACCUGAGUUCUGAGUACUUGAAUAGGCAGCUGUUCUCCCAGCAGUGGGAAUUAGCAUUAAAAUACAGAUAACUUCAGGGCAAGCCACAACUUUGGAAAGCAAAACUCAACCUCCAAUAAACAAUCUAGUCUCCAAGGCACCCCAGGUCUAUCUAUUAUGUUACAAAGUUUGACUGUCAAUUCUUACUUUUGGAUGCACAAUUGUGCGUCUCCAAUACCUCAACAAAGAGACAUUGUCCUAAAUUCUUUUAGAAGCCUGGUUUCUAGGAUAAGAGUUCCAUAAAAAUAUAACCUCAAUUUAGACCUGUUUCCCUAGGUUGGCUCAUGUCACAUGUUAUCUAGAAUGACUCCAUCCAGAUUAUCAGCUUUAUGUCAACUUUCUGUUACCAAUAUUAUACCUUUUUAACCAUAUCCAAUAACUAAAAAGCCAAUAGUCCAUAACCAAGGCAAGUAGAGCAUAUUUAUACAUUUAAAAACAAUGAGAAACAAAAUUGAAGUGGCUACACCUAUCUUUAAUAUCUAGACCAAACACCAUUUUUACCUUUUUGCUAUGAUUUUAAGAGGAGCACCAUGUCACCUGUUGAGUCAAAAUAAUAAGUCAGGGAUCUCUCUAAGAGAAACAGCUAUCAACUCUUGUAUCGAAGAAGCUGAGAAUCUGUUGGCGCUUUUAAGAUCAGCUCGUGUAGACGCUUAGCCUCUGGGCAGCUUCUCCAGCUAAUCUAGACACCUGGCUCUAGUAACAGGGGUCCAAAGACCUGAUUGAAAACUGUUUUUUAUUCAUUUGUUCCCUUUUGAAACGAGUUAAAACCAAGUCAAGGUGUGCAUGACCGGCAGAUAAAGUUUUUACCAUUUUUUCUUUUGAACAUGAAACAUAAAACAUUUAAACAACGAGAAAUAAAAACCACAGACAUACACUGACAGACAUGGGACAUCCUGGUGCACCAGAGACAAACAAUGGACAAAUAGGGAAAAAACCAGAUGGUGUUCACGGUGACUAUCCACUCGAGUGGAGUCGAUAUGGGCGAUGAAUUGUCUCAAUUCCUGGACUAGUCCACCAACAUGUUGAAAGCCAAUUCCUGUAAGAUACUGAGAUAUAUUAUCUCAGCAGUACGACCGACAUUCACCAAUGGUAUGGAAGUGAAACAAGCCCUGAAUAUUUUUACUCACAACCCAAUUACAUUAACUCCAUCAGGCUGUGCAUGGGCACGGAGAUGUCCUUUUGUUUGAUUCUCCUGAAUAAAUUUUCAGGCGGUCUACCUCUAUCAAAUCUGAUCAGUAUGACUCUGUAAAGCUGUUGCGUCAGCUCAGGGACACGGCGUCCCCAGAGCCGGCGCUGAAGCUUAAGCACACUUCUAACAGGCACAAGACAAAAUUUAUCUCCCAAAAUGCUGUGUGCCUUUUAUCUCUUCCCUUCUUCUCACCUGGGGCGUUUUUUCCCCAAUCUUUCGCUUCCGAAUUGGAAGGGUCUGGUGCUUGAGAUCGGUCAGGAUCCUUUUCUCAUUGCAACUUUUCACUACCCUCUGUUUCUGACACUCUGUCGCCUCGCCCUUCCCCCAACACUCUCCGCUUUGCUGUUACAGCUGGGCAGUUCCCACGCGACCUCUGACGCCGUUAGGCGGUAACUAGAAACUCAAAGGUCAAUAGAAACUACCCGAGGGCUGCCAGAGCAACCAUAGCGGCUCCUGCUGCGUCCGGAAGAGGACUGAGCUGGAACAGAACAAGUCUAAACUUGGUCUCUCAGAGUUUUGCCUGCAUUACACAGUUUCUGGAUUUCUUCCGUGAAACGGGGCUUCCUCUUGGCACCGGCGAUGAUGUAGCUUUUUUCUGUCCCGGGAUCUCAACACCAAAUGUCCCGCGCACGACUUUCCGCCAGCAAGAAGCACGCGAACAUUUAGAAAUCCUUACUGUGUCCAACCUUUUUAAUCUUAGAAGAGGAAAAGCCCCGCCGCACCAAAAUGGCGCGCUUAUAAAAUGCUAGUGCGGCGCACCCACCCUGAUUGGUUGUUACCCAUGAUCUCAUAAGGCACGCCCCGGAGUGGGCAAAGACCUGGCAUGAAGGCACUCUUGCAUAUGCACACAGUUAACUUCCUGAAAUGGGGGCCGACUAGUGCGGUGAAGGCUGGUGCCAUCUUGUAAUGGCAGAGGCUAUCCUGGCCUUCCAAUGGGGUCUCAGUGGAAGCCAGCGCCAUCUAGUGGUGGCGAAUGACAUUGGGCCCUCUACAAGUAUGGAACACCAGAUGAAGUUGGAUGAAGCCUAACAUUGCCUGCCCUGAAGUCAUCAGUUGAAGCUCUCUUGCCUGAGGAUACCUGAAGUGAAAGCUCUACAGAAAUUUAUCACUAAACACUGAGAUGUAGCAGAGAACCUACAAAGGAUAGAUAGCCUCAAUCUUUAAGGCUCAAUGAGAAUCACCACAAAGACAUUUUAUUCUUCCUGAAGAUGCCUUCUAUGAUAACUUUGCAUGGAGAAGCUGGGCUAUUCUGAGAUGUCGGUUGCCUGAACAAUUCUUAGGCCUCAGAAGGAUGGCUAGACAACAUCUUUAUAAUAAAGAGUUGAGUCAUGCAAAUGACCUACUAUAGGAAUCUCUUCAGGUAAUAACUACUAGUAGGAAAUACCUGAAAGAAGACUCUUCAGACUAAUAUCUCAUCACCAUAUAUUAUCCUAAAGCAUAUUCUGAAGAUGAUAUCUACAGUGAUGAGUUGGAGUCAUAGAUGGUGCCACUUCUUCAACCAGCUAUAUCACCAAAACAAUCUUCAUUAUACAUGAUGAUGCCUCUUUCCUGUGUAGCAGCAGACACCACCUUCAGAUAAGAAAUGCUUAAGUGAGAAAUGCUCAUUUUGGGAUAUCAUCGGUGAAACUAUAAUUUGGGCAUGGUGCCUGUUUCCCUUGCUGCCACUUGACUCAAUCCCAGAAGCUUAAUAGAUGAAAUAGUAAUGUACAAGGAGCUCAAAAUGGUGGAAGUAAUUAGUGCUUCUAUAAAUAUAGAUUAAUGAUUUAAAAUAUGAUAUAUUAAAAAGAAAAUGCAUGACUAAAAAAACCUGAAUGCAUACUUAUAUGAUUAAUACAUAAAUCAUGUACCUUCUCUUUGGAAAAUUAUCCCCAUGGUUUCUCUCUGUUAAGGGAAGGUAUAUAUGCUUUUAAGCAAAAAAAUAUACACGACAUACACAUACUGUCUGGUGGGGGACAUCUAGUAGUAAGGGCAUAUUGUUAUGCAAAUUUCUACUUUUGUUUGAGUCUUUUUAUGAGGUUUUGCUAUUUCAGUAUUCAUAUUCAUACCUAUGUCAUUUGUUGAGUGACUAUAUGACUGUUUUUAGAUGAAAUAGAAUGAAAUAUUUUAAACAUUGCUAUACAUUGGCAGUUAUAUAGGUACCAAUUCUCUGUGCAAUACACUUCCAUACAUAACAUUUCUGCAUUUGUCUCCUCUAUCAGAGUAAAUUUACCUAGAACUUAAAUUAUUGAAAUUAAGUAUAUUAAUGCUUCAAGUUUUAAAAUUAUCAUUUCUUUCACAAUGUACUUGAAGAGAUUUCCCCUUAGAGCCAAUGAGUUAUAUUGCCAAAUUCUUCAAAAUACCAUUAUGGUGGAUUUUACGAGUGAUUCAGGUCCUUUCCAGUGUGUUAGCCGGAAUUGUUGUUAUGAAUUGUAUUUAUUUUAUUUUUGAGUUUGAUCAUUUUCAUGUUUAUAAGCCAUCUGUAUUAUUUUAAUUUCUUAUUUAUGUAAAAGCCUGGGAGUAUGGUGAAGAUUUAGUCUAAAGUUCUUUUACUGUUGACAAAAGAUAAGAUUUUGGAUUGUCAAACAUUACAUGUUUGUCACACUUUUAAACUUUGUUUUGUUAUCAGAAUGUAUAUUACUGUUACAUGUCUAAGUAUAACCAUGUUUGUUUUUAUGACUUCUAAGUUUCAUGUCAUUUUUUUUGAAAAAAAUAUACUGAGCCCAUAAAUCCUUUCACCUAUGUUAAUCGUAAUUAUUUUGUGUUUUUUAAAGUGAAAUUCUUGCAUCAUGAAAAGAAUUUUAUUUUGAAAUCUUAGAAUUGCCAAGUUAUUUGCCAUUAUUUAUAAUUAUUUGCUAGUAAUUGCCCAUUUAUCUGUAAUGCCAUCAUGCAUAUGUGCUGUAUUCUCAUCCAUGGAUGGCUCCAUUUUUGUUGUGUGGAUAUGUGUGUCUCUUCUGCCUUAUGUCUCAUGUGUCUUCUUGUUGGAAGAAAUUACAGUUUAGACUGUAAUUUCAUCAACCUUAAUAAAUCAAUCUGGGAAAAACUUGUUUUAAAUGAUAUUGUCUUUGUAAAUCAAGCCAAAGUAUGUCUCUUUUAUUAAAUAUUCAAUUAUUAUUGAUAUUUUCACUAUAACCUUGG
ensembl:lncRNA